GGCCUGUGGCAGGAGAGCAUGUUGGAGGCAGAAAAAAGCCAGAGAGUGAUGGGGACAGGGACACAAGAGGAGGUGGGAGGCAUGGGCAAGGCUCCGUAGACCAGAGAGUUUGAAUUUUCUCCUUAGAGCCAUGAAAACCCAUGGGAAGGAAUUCAGGAGGGAGUAAUAUUAUCAGAUUAGGUUUUUCUUGACCACCCCCCCGCCGGCUGACUCCCUUCAAAAGGUUCCUCCAGUGCCUGGGUGGAGGAGACCGUGGGAGGGGGCAGGGGCUACAGGGAGACCCACCAGCAAGGGGGCUGACAUGGGGUGCUGGAGAAGAGUUGGGCUCCAAGGGUGGUGGAAGCCAAAAGCCAGGGCUCUGGGGGGACUUGGGGCUGGAUACUCCAAGUCAGGGGACAUAGAGGGCUGUGUAGCUCCCCCCAGCACAUCCCUGAGCCUCUGGAGAAGUCCUUCAUCUCUGGAGUUUCUCUUUCCCUUCCAGUCCAGCCCUUUCUUGUUAUUGUAGGACAGACUCCAUCGAUGACUCAUUCAGGACUUGGGUUUCUUGUUCCAGCAGUCUCCCUUCCCCUGAUUACUUUGGGCUCCUCUGGGCCUGCAGGCCUCGCCCCUCAUCAUCUGGGGAGGCAGCCAAGAACCUUGCUGGCUGGGUGAGCUCUACGGAGGAAGGAGCCGGGACCCUCCUAGCUUCAGGCCCCACCCAUGCUUUCCUGCCUCUGGUUUUGCUCUCCUCUUUCCCCCGCCAGGGGACCCCUGUUCUGCAAGUCCUGCUCCUCCUUCCAGGACCACCUCCCCUGGGAAGCCCUGCUAGGUGGCCCCGCACAAUCUUCUCCACCCUGCUCAGUGGCACCUGUCUUUUUAUUCAACCCCCAGGAGCCCACCUUCUGGUGAGUGAGGCAGGGGUGUAUUGAUGGAACUACAGACACAAAUAUGGUAGGAACCUAGAGGAGGGAACCAAUAACACCCCCUAGAGAUUGGGUCAGAUGAGGUUUCCCAGAGAAAGGGACAUUUACACCUGGGUUUUGAAGGAGGAAUAGAAGUUCAUCAUGGGGAGAAAAAUAAGAAGGCAUUCCAAGCCAAAGAAACAGUGUGUGCAAGUUAUUUCUGUAAUGCAUGAAAGGGGCCCAGUGCAUGUAAAUGUUUGUUGAAUGAAUCAAUGUUUGGGGGAACAUUGAGAAAUUUGGUGUGGCUGCAUCAGAGCUUGCAAACUGUCAGUGGAUAGGCCAAAUCAGGCAAAGAGAAGGUUAAAAAAAAAAGUGAAAAUGGAAUUAAUUCUCAACAUCUAAAAAUUGGGAGGCUUCACAGACACUCCGGAGCUGGGCAGCAUCCUCUGCCUUUAGGCGCAUGCUAUCCAGCUCACCAGAGUCCCCACCUGGCUCAGUUUACUCAUUCAUGCUACUCCUUGGGCCCUGUGGACAUUUGAAUUUGCACCCCUACCUACUUGUUAUACUCCUCAAGGUUCUGGACUGUGAGCUACUCACAGGGCCAGGCACACAGCAGGUGCCUAAUACAUCUUUGUUGGCUAAGUGGAUAGAUGGUGUGAUGAUUUUAAAAUAUGUCCCCAAAUUUCUUAACACUCUGGAGCCCCCUUCAGUGUGGGCUGAACUUAGAGACUCCCCUGUAGACAGCCAAAUGUAGAAGAAGUAAUAGCUUGUGAUUUCAGAAACUAGGUCACAAAAGACACUGUGGCUUCUGCCUGGCUGUUUCUUGGAUUGCUUGCUAUGGGGAAAGCCAGCUGCCAUUUUGUUAGGAUACUCAAACAGCCCUGUGGAAACACCCAGGUGGCGAGGAACUGAGGCUUCUUCUUGCCAAUGGCCGGCACCAACUUGCCAGCCAUGUGAGUGAGUCACCUUGGAAGCAGCUUCUCCAGCCCAGUCUAGCCUUAGAUGAUUGCAGCCCAAGCUGACAGCUUGACUGCAACCUCAUGAGAGACCCUGAGUUACAACCACCCAGUGAGGCUGCUUCCAAACACCUGAUCUACAGAAACUGUGUGAAACAAUAAAUGUUUAUUGUUGUCUCAGAUGCUGAGUUAUGAAAUAAUUUGUUAUGUUACGCAUCAAUAGAUAACUAAUAUGGAUGGAUGGCUGGGUAUCUGGAUGGCUGGAUAGAUUUAUAUAGAGCGCAUUAGGUAAUGGAGGAAGUCCCAUUGGGAAAGAGGGUCAGAGCCUGGAGAGCCAGAAGAAGUUUGUAAUCCCUGGUCAUCUCUAAGCUUUAGGGAGGUUAUUCAGGCAGCCAGAGGAGGAGAGAGUUAGUGAGUUUUGAAGCCAAGAGGUCAUCAGAGGCUAGACCACUCAUCCUGGGGAGACAGCCUGCCCUGUGUCUCCAAAUCCAGCUUCCUCAAGCAGCAGUUCAUACUAGUCCUUCCUACCCUGAGGUCCUGGCUCCAUCAUUCCUCGGCCCCAGCUGGCCCUCAGAAUUGUGGAGGAGGUCAAGACUUCAGCAUUUUUCAGAAGCCAAGUCAUCCUCCUCACUCAGAGUCUUCUUUGUGUGGAGGAAGCAGUUUCUCGACUGGUGGGGGACUCAGGGCAGGGUCAGUAGCCUUCAGGAACCAGAGGAGGGUAUUGAGAAGCUGGGACCCUCUGUGGAGACCCUGCUGGCCCCAAAGGCAUGGUGGAGAGCCACAGCCACCAAACAUCCAUAGGAUUAGGUCAGCCCUAAGAUCCAGUAUAUUGGUAUUGUUUGAAAUGACCCAACACAUGUCCUCGGGAAACAUAUGUACAAUGGGCCUGGCACAUAUGAGAAUUUUUUAAGUAAAUCAAAACUGCACUGAAAUGCCAUUUUUCAUCUAUCACAUUGGCAAAAUUUCAAAAGCUUGACAAUACCUGCUGGUGAGGCUUUGAGCAAAUAGCUACUCUUAUAAAUUGUCAAUAAUGCCUGUUGGCAAUAAAACUUCUAGGAAGGAAUUUGUAAUAUAGAACAAAACAGGAUAUGCAUUUACUCUUUGAUCCAGGAUAUUUACUUCUAGGAUUUAUCCUAAAGAUAUAAUUCCACAAAUAUGAAAAAUGUGUAUGCAAGGUUAUUUAUUGAGGAAUUAUUUAUAAUACAAAAUGUUGAAAAUACACAAAUGCCCAUCUGUAGAAAACUGGAUGAAUAAACUAUGGUACCACAUGAGAGAAUGUUAUGCAGCCAUGAAGGCAAGAAGGAAGAUCUCUGUAAACCUACAGGGAGUGAUUUCCAGCAUAUAUUGUUAAACAACAAAAUAAGGUAAAAGCAAAAUAAAGGACUACCUAUACUAUGCAAACUUUU
ensembl:lncRNA novel transcript